rnacentral:rRNA from 1 species
ACGAAGUAGCAAUACUUAGUGGCAGACGGGUGAGUAACAUGUGGGUAUCUGCCCUUUGGCCUGGAAUAACACGAGGAAACUUGUGCUAAUACCGGAUAAGUCUUUACGGAGAAAGCUUUAUGCACCAUUGGAUGAGCCUGCACUUGAUUAGUUUGUUGGUGGGGUAAUGGCCUACCAAGACUGUGAUCAAUAGCUGAUUUGAGAGGAUGAUCAGCCACAUUGGGACUGAGACACGGCCCAAACUCCUACGGGAGGCAGCAGUGGGGAAUCUUGCACAAUGGAGGAAACUCUGAUGCAGCGAUGCCGCGUGAGUGAAGAAGGCCCUUGGGUUGUAAAGCUCUUUCGUCGGGGAAGAAAAUGACUGUACCCGAAUAAGAAGGUCCGGCUAACUUCGUGCCAGCAGCCGCGGUAAUACGAAGGGACCUAGCGUAGUUCGGAAUUACUGGGCUUAAAGAGUUCGUAGGUGGUUGAAAAAGUUAGUGGUGAAAUCCCAGAGCUUAACUCUGGAACUGCCAUUAAAACUUUUCAGCUAGAGUAUGAUAGAGGAAAGCAGAAUUUCUAGUGUAGAGGUGAAAUUCGUAGAUAUUAGAAAGAAUACCAAUUGCGAAGGCAGCUUUCUGGAUCAUUACUGACGCUGAGGAACGAAAGCAUGGGUAGCGAAGAGGAUUAGAUACCCUCGUAGUCCAUGCCGUAAACGAUGUGUGUUAGACGUUGGAAAUUUAUUUUCAGUGUCGCAGGGAAACCGAUAAACACACCGCCUGGGGAGUACGAC